rnacentral:lncRNA from 1 species
UCUGUUUCUAAGGAUCGAAAAGAUUUAAAAUUUGCUUAAAAGAUUUUAAUUUUAUUGUCGUUUUUUUUAAGAAUCUAUGAUGAUUUUAUUCCUGCAGUUGUUUGAUGAAAAACUUAGAAAAUCAUCAUACAUUACUAAACUAUGUAGACCAUUAAUGCUCUGUUUUGUGAUGUAUCUAGUAAGUCAUCCGAAUUCGUGACCUGUGCUAAUUACUACUUUUUAUGAAGAUCCAUUCCUAUUUCCAAAUAAUCCCAUGGAGCUCAAUUUAAUUCUUUUCAUUAUGAUCACCACCGGUCUCUGUUGACAGGAAAUUGAUGUUAAUGAGGCUGAAGAAAAGAAUGAGAAUCAAGAGAAAGUGAUGGUGAACCAAGACGCCGAGAAUUCUUGCCAUAAUAAACGAAGAAAAUUGAACUCAAAGGUUUGGGAUGACUUCACAAAGCGUAAAGGACAAUCUGGAAAAGAAGUGGCUGUAUGCAAUCAUUGUGGGAGGGAAUUUGAUGGUUCAAGCAAGAAAGGAACUACUCAUCUCAAGAACCAUUUACAAAGAUGCCCAGGUAAAAGAAACGGAGAUGUUGAUAAAUUUAUUAAAUCUGUGAUUGAUGCAAUAGGAUUACGGAUGAAUUCUGAGCAUUGGGAUCCAUUAGCGCUAAACUCCAAAAAGGACGAUAUACUCCAAUUUUACAAUAAAGAGAAGGAAAAACUUUGCAGGCUUCUCAAUAAACUCUCAUGUCGUUUUAGCUUAACAAUUGAGUGGUGUGCGAAUUGCUGCCUCUUGGUGGUACAUUAUAUCAAUGAUGGUUGGGAUCCAAUGUGGAAGGUUAUUAGUGUUCAGGAUGUCAGAUUUCCUUACAGUAUUCUGUUAGAAAAUAUGAAACGUUCCUGCUUGGAUUGGCAGAUUGAUAGGGAUAUAUGUAUGGUAAUUACCACGGGCGAUAAUGUGAUUAGUGAGAUUAACAGCUGGGUUUGUGAAAGGGGUUCACUUCACUUUGGUGGGCAGAUGAUGGCUAUUGGUGGCUUGGUUGAAAUUCUUCUCACUUUUGUUGAGAAUUUAUCAUCCCGCACAUGUGAUACAGUUGGAAUAAGGCGGUGUUUUCGUGAUGUCUUUAAGAGUACUCCAUCGAAUGAACAUAAAUUUCGAAAGAUUUCAGCUGCUAAAGUUAAGUCCAUGGGCAAUAAAACUUACGGCUUUGAACAGCUUGAGAUAGCCGUGGGUCUUAAGAAAGUUCUUUGUGAGCUUGUGAAUGCAGAUUCUAAUUUCAAGUCAAUGAAUUUAACAAAGGAAGACUGGCAUAAGGCGACUGUCGCAUAUGAGCGUAUAAAAGCCUUACACGAUGUAGCGUGCAGUUUAUCAGAGAGCAAAUGUAAAACGGCAAAUGCAUAUUUCCCAAAGGUAUGUGACAUAUAUAUGAAAUUGCUUCAAUGGGAAAGAAGUGAAGAUGAUUGUGUCGGCAAGAUAGCCUUGGAAGCAAGAGAAAUAUUUGUUAACAGAUAUUGGAUGAAGUAUGAAUUAAUCCUAGUAAUUGCAGCUGUUCUUGAUCCGCGGUUCAAAAUGGAUAUUGUGCAACUUUGGUACAAAGAGAUUUAUGCUAGUGCUGCUCGCACACAUCUUGAGAAAAUUAAUGGCGAAUUUAAUCGUGUUUAUAAUGAAUAUGCCAAGGGCUCCGGAAAAUCCAGAUCUGGUGAUGCGAGUUCUUCAAUGUCAUUCAAAUUGUUAGACGCUAUGGGUAGACCGUGUACGUUGUCGCAUGGCGUCUUUGAUGACGGUAUCGCUUCACCAAAAUCAGAACUUGAUUGCUAUUUGAACGAGCCUAAAUUUCCCAGAGUUGAAGAGUUUGACAUACUGGCUUGGUGGCGUGUUAACACUCCAAAAUUUCCAACGCUUGCAAGGAUGGCUCGUGAUUUUUUAGCAAUGCCUAUUUCUCCUAGUGCUGCUACUGCAUAUGCUUGCUUCAGUAAAGAAGCUAAGGAUAUUUUUGAUACAGGCCUAGAUAAUGACCUUAUAACUGCCUUGGUGCGUUUAAAAGUAUGGUUGUAAUUAAAGCCUGAAAAAAAAAUUAAAAAACUCUUCUGAGCGGAGUAAGAGCAUCUCCAAAAGCCUCUAUAAAUUUUAAUUUUUAAAUACAUAUUUGCUUACUUAUACGGCAAAUAGAAAGGUGAAAAAAUAUGAUAUUUUCCAAAAGACUUUUCAAAUAGAAAUAAAUUAAUAUUAUUUUAAUCAUAUAAUUAGUUUUUUAAAGGAAAAGUCAAUAGCAAUUAAAUCAUUUCUCUUUCUUUCUUCAAUGAAAAGUAAUAAAAUAUAAAUUGAAAAGGGAGAAAUUAACUCUCCAAAUUUGAAGAGAGAGAAUCAAUUCUUAUUUGAAUAAUUUUAAUUAGAGUGUCUUUUGGAGCUUUAAAUAUUUAUGUGACUUUUCAAAUAAGUAAUAAAAUCUUAUUUAAAGAGCUUUUUGUUGAUGCUCUAAGAGUAUCACCAAAAAACUCUUCAAAUAAGAUUUUAUUACUUAUUUGAAGAGCUAUAUUAACAUUCAAGGCUUCAAAAGACACUCCAAUUAAAAUUCUUCAAAUAAGAAAUGACCAUCUCUUUUUAAAUUUGAAAAGUUACUUUCUCCCUCUUCAAUUUAUAUUUUAUUACUUUUUGUUGAAAAAAAGAGAAAUGUGCUUUAAUUACUAUUGACUUUUCCUUUAAAAAAAUAGUUAUUUAAUUAAAAUAACAUUAACUCAUUUAAAGAGUCUUUUGGAGAACAAUAUCUUUUUUCACUCAUCUAUUUACCACAUAGGUAAGCAAAUGAAUAUUUGAAGAGUAAAAUUUAUAGAGCAUUUUGAAGAUGCUCUAAGUUGUCCUCAAUUUUGCUACUUACCAAAAAUGUUUUUCUUUCAAUAUGCAAAAAUGUAUUAUGAAUCUAAUUGUGAAGUAUCUAAAGUGUUAUCUAAAUUUCUAAUUCAUUUCUCAAUCUCUAAAUUGAAUAUAAUUAUAAAUAAGGUUGGCAAAAUUUGUAUUCGGAUAUGAAUAUCCAUAUCUGCAUUUACAUUUUUAUAUAUGAAUCCGCAAAAAAAAUAUGUGGAUCUGCAUGUGGGUAAUAGCCGCAACGGAUGUGGGUGGAUAUUCCAGAUAUUCGGAUUAACAAUAAUCAAAAUUUGAUAAUUUAAUAUAUAAUUUAAAAAUUCAAUGAUUUAGCUUAUAAUAUAAAAAAAAUUCAAUCAUAAUUCAACAAUUAAUAAUUGAACAUGACUAACAUACAACAACAUCAUAAAUCGAUAAAUAAAAUUCAAUUUUUAGUAUAUCGAAUUCGUGACCUGUGCUAAUUACUAAACCUUUUUAUGAAGAUCCAUUCCAAUUUCCAAAUAAUCCCACAGAGCUCAAUUUAAUUCUUUUCAUUAUGAUCACCACCGGUCUCUGUUGACAGGAAAUCAAUAUUAAUGAGGCUGAAGAACAGAAUGAGAAUCAAGAGAAAGGGAUGUCUCCAGUAAGUCAUCCGAAUUCGUGACCUGUGCUAAUUACUACUUUUUAUGAAGAUCCAUUCCUAUUUCCAAAUAAUCCCAUGGAGCUCAAUUUAAUUCUUUUCAUUAUGAUCACCACCGGUCUCUGUUGACAGGAAAUCAAUAUUAAUGAGGCUGAAGAACAGAAUGAGAAUCAAG